WWAACUGGGAUUAGAUACCCCACUAUGCUCAGUCGUAAACACCGAUUUAAUUUUAUCCGCCAGAGAACAACGAGCAAAGCUUAAAACCCAAAGGACUUGGCGGCGCUUCAUAUCACCCUAGAGGGGCCUGUCACAUAAUCGAUAACCCACGAUACMCCUCACCACUUUUAGCCAUAUCAGCCUAUAUACCGCCGUCGCCAGUCCAUCUCGAGGAAAGAAACAAAAUGGACUAAAAAGUAUAAAUACUAAAACGACAGGUCAAGGUGUAGCUCAUAAAAUGGUAAAUGAUGGACCACAUUGCUUAAUAAAGCCACACCAAAACUGCACUGAAACACACGCUUCAAGGUGAAUUUAACAGUAAGACAAACAAGAAAAUCUGUCUAAAGUAUGCUCUGAAGCGUGCACACACCGCCCGUCACCCU
rnacentral:rRNA from 1 species